rnacentral:rRNA from 1 species
UACGGAGGGUGCAAGCGUUAUCCGGAUUCACUGGGUUUAAAGGGUGCGUAGGCGGGCAGGUAAGUCAGAGGUGAAAUCUCCGGGCUUAACCCGGAAACUGCCUUUGAUACUAUCGGUCUUGAAUAUGGUGGAGGUAAGCGGAAUAUGUCAUGUAGCGGUGAAAUGCUUAGAGAUGACAUAGAACACCCAUUGAGAAGGCAGCUUACUACGCCUAUAUUGACGCUG